rnacentral:lncRNA from 1 species
UUUUUUUUUUGUUUGCUGGUAUUUCACGAUACUACAAAUUGUACACGUUAUGUAUAUAUAUUAAAUAGAUUUUCUCGUACGUAGAACCAUAUAUAUAUAUAUAUAUAUCAUCGAAUGUCUCACAGCCAACAUCAUUAACUAUUCACACAUAUACACAUGUAUAUACAUAUACAAUUUCUACUACAUGUUGCCUUGGUGCCUUCGGAGCACGAUGACAAGUGGUUCAUGGGGGCGGUAGCGGGUAAUAAUAUUCUCCUUUCGGAUCUAUGACCUGGUCGAGCAAAAAUCCGGCUAUUUCCUCUUGAAGUGCUUGUAUGCGGUCCGAUGGUAGGAGCUUAUCCGCACCGAUCUGAACUGUUAAGAAGGAGAUCAAUAUGCAUGUGUGUUAGUUGUGUGACUAGAUAUCGAUAAUGGUGUGAAUAGUGUUCUGACAAAAACGUACCCAGUCCUGUCUAUCAGAUCUGCUCCUUUCGCACGUCAUCAUGCGAAUGUUCUCGCAAACAUAGUAUGCACACAGAUUAUUCCCUUUCGCCUGCCUCAGGGCCUUUACGAUAAUGGAAUUGAAUCAGAUAAUGAUUAAUCAAGCAUCAUAAUUAAUUAAUGAUAUUGAAACAAGAAUUAAAGAGAUGGUAGCUAGCUAGUACUACUUAAUUACUUACCUUGGGUCGAUGCCAAAACAAUUUUUUUUCCAUUCUCCUGGAGUCACCGCGAUGAACUUUGCCCAUGCCCUGCCCGCCGGCAAAGAAAAUUAAUAAAGGGGUUAUUAAAUAGUUCAUAUCAGGAACUAAUAGUUAAUAAUGAUUGAAAUUACCUGUUGACUAUCCCCUUCACGAUGGUGUAGUCUUUAUCUUCUUUAGUUAGUGAGUCUAGUAAUUCAACUUUUUCUUCCUCAACUUUAAUGUCUAUCAAGACCCAGUGCCAACUGCAUACGCACACGUUUGCAUGUCUUAAUUAAGCGGGCAUGUGCAUAAAAUUAAUCAACUACCAUAAAUCGUAUACACUUAAUUAUUAACAUCUAGUUAGCUAGUAAGCAAAAACAGAAUUUGUAGUACAAGACAGUCUGACUCACGGGAAGUUGUAAGGAAGUAGUAUAUCUUCAAAGGUAUUGAGGCGCUUCAAGAACUCAAGCAUGCUUUCCUCUACAGCAGCUUUACAAUGUUCAAUCUCCCAUAUGUCCUGAUUAAUGGUAUUUGGGUCAAUGAACCCAACGCCAUAGCGUCCAGCUUUUUUCAUUUCAUACAUCUUCAUCCUGCAUAUAAUACCACAGAAAAAGAAUAUAGUGAGGAUAAUUACAUGUAAUGAUUGAUCAAAAUUAUCACUACAUAACUAGCUUGAGACUUAAAUUACAGAAAGAAAUCACUUACAGACAAUAGCAACUGACGAUAGACUUGUCGAGUGCGUCUUGAUUAAAUAACUGAAAUAGUUCUGGAUACUCAAUGGCCAGAGCUUUCUCAUGGUAAUAAUGCUCAUGCUUGACAUUCACCAUGAGGGACUCUCGAUUGGAAAUCUUGAUAAUGUUCAUGUACCAUUGAUGCAAUUGAUACAUUCUCGUUGGGAGAUCCUUGACCUUGUCUGGAUGGACCAAAGGUUUGCCCCGGACAUAUUGCCAUGCUAUUUCCGAUUCUUUAAGCGUAGGCAUGGGUUCGAUUUCGAGGAGUUGUCCAACAGAGAUAUUGAGCAUUUGAGUCUGCAUUAUAUGAUCCUCUGUUAUUACCACAUCGCCAUGCUGGGGAACGCUAACGGUUUGCCCACAAUAAUAUUUGGCGCGCGUACUACUCCUCUCAUGUGUUGUUGGCACAACAAGCGGGGGGAUCGCUUGCGCCGCCUGUUCUCCCAACUGGGGAACGGUUUUCUCGCCUUUUUUGCCAGCUGCUUGUUGGCUCGAGCUUGAGCUCGCUUCCUUCUGUAGUCGUGCUCGAUGUGCCUUCCUAAUUUGGCGCUCAUAGUCCGAGUCAACAGGCUUGGGAGCUGGUUCUUUAGCCAUACGAAUGAAGUGGUCAAUUACUUUCUCAGGCACUUUCUCCUUUGGCGGCGGUGCCGGUUUCGGUCCAAAUGGGCGUCCACUUGGGCUUUGCACUAUGGCUGUGUUUUGCUCCUUAGUCAUGUCGUAAGGCCUCUGAGGAAGAGGAGCGAGGCUUGGACCAUAUUUAUAUUGCUUGCCUUCGCCUGUACUUCCUGAACUACCUCGACUCGUAUCGCUACGCACCAAAGCUGCGGGAUGUCUCUUCUGCGAUUGCUGAGACGGCGAAGACGGCUGACGUGGAGUUGGACCAGGAGAAGUGGCCUGACGAUGUGCCGGACUUGAAGCAGGAGGUGUGGCCUGACACGGUGCCGGACUUGCAACCGGAGAAGUGGCAUGACGCUGUGCCGGGCUUGAAACCGGAGGAGUCAGCUCACGCGUUCGGGGACUUGGAGGAGGUGGCGGACUUCGAGGAGGAGUCGUCUCACGCGUUCGUGGACUUGGAGGAGCAGGAGUCUGCUGACUCGGUGGCAGACUUCGAGGAGUCGGCAGACGACGCGGUGUCGGUGGACUUCGAAAGAUUAUGCAAUCCUUUCUCCAUAGGAUGAUACGAUGUAUGGCCUCUCCAAGUGUGCGCUCGUCUUCACCUCCAGGAAUGUCAAGCGUUAGCCCCGAAUAUGGGUCCACCACUUCAUCAACCAUGACACGAGCAUAGCCCUCUGGAAUCAGGAUGCAAUGGUAGGUUGCUUCGGGGGUAACUGGAAAAGCAACGCCGUUCGCCACCUUCAUGGAUAUGUUCUUCAUUUUGGAGUGUAGCUCACAGUUAGUGUUCUCUAUGAUGUCAUCCACAGGGUAUGUAUCCAGCAGUGUGUCGCCCGGGGCAGAACCAACGCUGCUUCUCGGCAUGGAUGGGAUGGUGCUAUCCAAUGCUAGACGAUCAUCCGCUUGCUGCUGCUACUGCUGAGACCCCCUUUCCUGGCUAAGUGAGUCGAUCUGCUGCUGCUGCUGCUGGAAUUUGAGUGCCAGGUCUGCGUGCCUUGCUUCUAGGCCUUGAAGACGUUCUGCGUCCUGCUUCAUCUGCUCCUCCUCCAGCUUCCUCUUCUCCUCCUCCUCCAUCUUCUUUCUUGCACGGGACCUGUAGUCGUCAUUCCAGUCCGAAAAGCCCUCAUACCAGGGAAUAACACCCAUGCCUCGUGUUCUUCCCGGGUGUUCAGGAUUUCCCAGGGCGCGCAUAAGCUCGUCGUUCUCUCUGUUGGGCGUGAACACCCCCGCUCGAGCUUCUUCUAUUGCGUCAAUUAUCUUUUGUUCGGCUCCUUUUAGACUUGCCUUCUUCGACACCAGGUCUGUCUUCGGGUCCAACGCCCCCCCAUGCGCAUAGAACCAAGUGCUACACCUGGGGGGCCAGUGCCGGGUAACCGGAGUGACCCCUGCAUCCUCCAUCUCUUGCUCAGACUUAUCCCACUUAGGCAAUGCCACUGCGUAGCCACCUGGACCCAGCCUAUGGAACUGCGUCUUUCUUGCGGUAUUUGCCUUAUUUUUCAUCGACCGUUCCUUAGAUAUUUCUGAAUCCUAGAAGGUCACGAAAUCGUCCCAAUGUUCUCUUUGCUUCUCCAGUGUUCCCUUGAAAUCUGGAGUCUUUCUUUCAUUAGCGAGGUAGUUGGCCCAUACAGUUUUCUUGUGGGUGUUGAAUGCAAUUGCCAUCUUCUUAAGAGCAGCGGCCUUGACUUCGUCCACAUCUGCUUUAGUGAAAUGAUCUGGUAGGGUGAAAUGUUCCAUCAGAGAUUUCACCAGGUCUUCUUUGGCUCUGCCAUCGACCCAAGUAACACCUGGACGUUUAGUCUUUGGCUCUUUCCAUUCUUGAAUGGAGAUCGGGAGUUUGUCCUUCACAAGAACUCCGCACUGACGAGUCCACUUGUUCGCAAUGUUCUUAGGCGUGAGGGGUUCGCCACUAGGUUUGAUGGAUUCGAUGUGGUAUUUUACACCAUCCUUCAACAAUCUGCCUGGGCCUCGCUUUAUCUUGCUGUUUGUAGAAGCAGAUUUGCUCGAUCCGGAGGGCUGAAAGAAGAAAGAUCGAUUCGUUAAUAUAUCUUCAAUAAAAAAACAUGUGAUGAUCACCAUGAUGCAUGCUUAUAUAAAUAUACUUCACCGGUAGUGUUUGUUAUUUGAAGAUCAGCAUUGUCUGUGUCAUCACAAACAUUGUCUGUGUCAUAAUCAUAAUCAUAGUUCAUGACUUCAUCAGCCCGGUCGUCGAGAUCGAAUAUCUUUUCAUCACCCUCUCCGGUAUUGUUAAGAUAUUGGGAGCUGUCAUCUGCUUCAUUCAGAUCAUCUAGCCUGUGAGGGCUGCAUAUGAUGUCGAACAAUUUCUCUUCUCUCUCUCUGCCGGUAUUGUCCGCCAUAGCUUUUACUUUACUAAUAAUACAGAAGAAAUAUAAAACAAUUUAGUAUUCAAAUUACAAUGCAUGGAUGCAAUUAAUCAAUAAGGAAAAUCUGAAUCUCAAAUACAUCAUCUCGAAUAUAUAAUCUCGAAUACAUCAUCGUCUUAAUAUAUAUAAUCUCGAAUACAUCGUCUCGAAUACUAUAUAUCGAAUACAUCACUGGCUAGGUACCUAAUAAAGAUCGAGUACUACAGAAGAAUCUAGGGCGCCACUCGCGGUUCCUGGGGCGCGGGCGGUGCACACCCAAAGAGAAGGAAUCAUCACAGGUUCAUAUCUCCGGUCAUCUGCCCAAAGAACCCACCAAGUAGUGGAGAACCUGACGUCGUCCAUAGCAGCCAUGUAGCGAUGGACGUGCUCAUCUUCCUUCCUGACACGACGACGCACCACCGCCGGCGGGGCCGGCUGCCUCUGCACCGAAUGUGGUCCACGCGAACGCCACCAAAGUCGACGACGGGACCCGAGGUCGGGUUCCUCACCAAGUGGCGCGCUCCUCCAGGUAGCACCUCCCAGUGCCAGCCCGGCGGAGCCCAGUCCCGGACAUGGGUCCCCUGAAGCAUGACGUUGUCGCGAACGGGUCGACGGCGAGGAUGCGGGCUGGGCAUAUCGUCGAGAACAAAUACUAUAUGCCCGCAAAAAGUAACAUUUUUUAAAUGAUUGGAUUGUGAUAACUAAAAUCUAUAUAUAUGCAAAUUCUAACAAUUUGACAUUAAUCUAAUUCAUCUAACUAAAACUAAUUCUAAAAUUUCAUGAUUAUAUAACUAACAUUUCCAUAACAAUUCUAAUAUUUAUAUAACUAAAAAACAAAAAAAAUGCUAACAUUUCUAUAAAUAUUUCUAUAACCAAAAAACAGAAAACAUUUAUAACAUUUCUAUAAAACUAACAUUUCUAAUAUUUAUAUAACUAAAAAACAGAAUAAUUUCUAACAUUUCUAUAACCAAAAAACAGAAAAAUUUAUAACAAACAAACUAAUGUGUGUAGUGUGUGUGUGUGUGUGUGUGUGUGUGUAGUACUGUGUGUGUGUGUNNNNNNNNNNNNNNNNNNNNNNNNNNNNNNNNNNNNNNNNNNNNNNNNNNNNNNNNNNNNNNNNNNNNNNNNNNNNNNNNNNNNNNNNNNNNNNNNNNNNNNNNNNNNNNNNNNNNNNNNNNNNNNNNNNNNNNNNNNNNNNNNNNNNNNNNNNNNNNNNNNNNNNNNNNNNNNNNNNNNNNNNNNNNNNNNNNNNNNNNNNNNNNNNNNNNNNNNGGACGACGGGGACAGGGACGGCCGGGGCGGCGACGUCGACGGGGGCGGGGACGAGGGGCGGGGACGGCCGGGGUCGGCGAUGAGGGGCGGGGGCGGCGACGAUCGGGGCAGGGCGGCGCGACGGAGGGAGGAAACAGAGGGAAGAACAGAGGGAAACAGAACUUUUUUUCAAGUGUUGUAUAUAUAGGAUGGACCUUUAGUACCGGUUGGAGCCACCAACCGGUACUAAAGGUCUGUUUUGGCCAGGCCAAGCGGCGGGAAGCGCACCCUCUUUAGUAUCGGGUGGUGGCACCAACCGGUACUAAAGGCCCCCCUUUAGUACCGGUUGGUGCCACCACCCGGUACUAAAGGGGGUGCACUGGCGCAGUGCGGGCAAGUUUAGUCCCACCUCGCUAGUCGAAGGGCUACCGCACUGGUUUAUAAGCCCCAGUGCGGUAGCUCUCUCGAGCUCCUCUCCUAAGCAGGCCUACUGGGCCUACCAAUUCAUUGCUGCCAUGUGGGCCUACUGGGCCUUUGCGGGCCUGCAUCCUGGCCCAACAAAAGGUUGAGUUUCUAGUCGUAUGCAGGCCGCUUUGGCCUAGUAGGCGGGUUUUUUUAUUUUUUUUAUUUUUUUUGCUUUUUUAUUUGUUUUAUUUAUUUUUGAGUUGUUUUUUGUUGUAUUUAGAGUUUCUUUGUGAAUAUUUUUGCUUUAGGUACAAAAAUUUACAAACUUUGAUCUGUUAGUGCUAGUAGUUUUCAAAUUUGAAUAGUUUAAAUUUUGAAUUAUUUGAAAUUUGUGUGAAUCACUAGUUUGUGAAUAACUUAACUUUGGAAAAAGAUUUUUCAGUGAUUCUUUUUUUUAUGUUUAAUAUUAGUGUGUUUUAUCAUUAUAUUCAAUUUGGUAAUGCUUAGGUUAUUUAAAAAAUGAAAUGCCUUUGUAACAUUUCAGUUUUCGUCGGAAACCCUGAUACUUCGAAAAAGAUUGUCCAUUCUGUACACGAAGUGUAUCCAGUUUUUGCCGUAACCCUCUCUACUUUUUUGCACAUGCUAUUUGUAUGAAAUUAUGAUACCAUGCCAACUUUCAACCUUUUCUGAGUUCAUUUCAAAUGCUUUUCAAUUUCAGGGUCAUUUAGCUGGAAAAAAAUCAGUAAAUGCGUGAAAAAAAUUUGUUUGCACAUAAAAUGUCUUCGCGUUUCAAAUGCCAAAACACAUAAUUAACUACCCUAACUAUUACAGACAUUCCCUCCUGGGUGUGAAACACAGAAGAAAGUGAUGAUAGUGAAGCCGAUCACAUCCCAGAUCUUUGGGUGUGAAACUUUUUCUUUUCGUGUGUCCCUUUGCGCCGUAGCCAGGGAAAAUCUUCAUCAUUUAACUAGAUGCUCGGGUCAAUAUUCACUGUGAAUGGAGCAAUUUCAUCACAAUUUUCAUAACCUUCUGACAUGUCUGUCUUGUCAUCCACUCCCACGAUGUUUCUUUUUCCUGAAAGAACUAUGUGGCGCUUUGGCUCGUCGUAUGAUCCAUUCGCUUCCUUAUCUUUUCUUUUUCUCGGCCUGGCAGACAUGUCUUUCACAUAAAAAACCUGCGCCACAUCAUUGGCUAGGAUGAAUGGUUCGUCUGCAUACGCAAGAUUGUUGAGAUCCACUGUUGUCAUUCCGUACUGCGGGUCUUCCGUUACCCCGCCUCGUGUCAUAUUGACCCAUUUGCACCGAAACAAAGGGACCUUCAAAUCACCUAAUCCAUAGUUAAGUUCCCAUAUGUCCUCUAUGUAACCAUAAUAUGUUUCCUUUCCCGUGUUGGUUGUUGCAUCAAAGCAGACACCACUGUUUUGGUUGGUGCUCUUCUUAUCUUGGGCGAUCGUGUAAAAUGUAUUCCCAUUUAUCUGGACCCUUUGAAAGUCAUUAUAUUCGAAGAUGGUAACUAGGACAACGAGUACAGGUCAUUUUGAAUAUCGCCAUCAUUCAGGGCACGUUUCUGCAACCAACCGGCGAAAGUCCUCGUUUGUUCGCGUGUAAUCCAGUCGUCAGACUUCUCCGGGUGUUUGGACUAUAGAAAAUUCUUGUGUUCCUCCAUAUACGGAGCCACCAAGGCAGAAUUCUGUAGAACUAUGUAGUGUGCUUCAGUGAGAGAAUGCCCGUCCAUACAUAUUAUUUGAUGCCCUCCUAGCGUGCCUUUUCCUUCCAGUCUGCCCUUAUGCCGCGAUUCAGGAACACCAAUCGGCUUAAGGUCAGGAAUAAAGUCAAUACAAAACUCAAUGACCUCCUCAUUUUCAUGGCCCUUCGAGAUGCUUCCUUCUGGCCUAGCACGGUUAUGAACAUAUUUCUUAAAGACUCCCAUGAACCUUUCAAAGGGGAACAUAUUGUGUAGAAUUACAGGACCCAAAACGUUAAUCUCUUCGCAAAGGUGAACUAGGACGUGCGUCAUGAUGUUGAAGAAGGAUGGUGGAAACACCAACUCAAAACUGACAAGACAUUGCACCAAAUCAUUCUGUAACCUUGGUAUGAUUUCUGGAUCGAUUACCUUCUAAGAGAUUGCAUUGAGGAAUGCACAUAGCUUCACAAUGGCCAAUCGAACGUUUUCUGGUAGAAGCCCCCUCAAUGCAACCGGAAGGAGUUGCGUCAUAAUCACGUGGCAGUCAUGAGACUUUAGGUUCUGGAACUUUUUCUCUGCCAUAUUUAUUAUUCCCUUUAUAUUCGACGAGAAGCCAGACGGUACCUUCAUGCUGAGCAGGCAUUCGAAGAAGAUUUCCUUCUCUUCUUUGGUAAGAGCGUAGCUGGCCUGACCCUGAUGUAUGUCGUCUUUUCCGUGCAUACGUUGCUGGUCCUCCCGUGCCUCUGGUGUAUCUUUUAUCUUCCCAUACACGCCCAAAAAGCCAAGCAGGGUCACGCAAAGAUUCUUCGUCACGUGCAUCACGUCGAUUGCGGAGCGGACCUCUAGGUCUUUCCAAUAUGGCAGGUCCCAAAAUAUAGAUUUCUUCUUCCACAUGGGUGCGCGUCCGUCAGCGUCCUUCGGAACAGGUUGUCCGCCAGGACCCUUUCCAAAGAUUACCUUCAAAUCCUUGACCAUAUCAUGUACAUCAACACCAGUACGGUGGCGAGGCUUCGUCCGGUGAUCCGCCUCACCUUUGAAAUGCUUGCCUUUCUUUCUUACGGGAUGACUGCUCGGAAGAAAUCGACGAUGUCCCAGGUACACAUUCUUCUUACAACUAUUCAAAUAUAUACUGUCGGUAUCAUCCAAACAGUGCGUGCAUCCGCGGUAUCCCUUGUUUGUCUGUCCUGAAAGGUUACUGAGAGCAGGCCAAUCAUUGAUGGUCACGAACAGCAACGCCUUUAGGUCAAAUUCUUCCCCCAUGUGCUCAUCCCACGCACGUACACCUGUUCUAUUCCACAGUUGUAAGAGUUCUUCAACUAAUGGCCUUAGGUACACAUCAAUGUCGUUGCCGGGUUGCUUAGGGCCUUGGAUGAGCACUGGCAUCAUAAUGAACUUCCGCUUCAUGCACAACCAAGGAGGAAGGUUAUACAAACAUAGAGUCACAGGCCACGUGCUAUGGUUGCUUCUCUGCUCCCCAAAAGGAUUAAUGCACUACAAGAAUUCUGCUAAUAUAUGACGGAUUCAAUCCGUCACAGACCUAUGCAAAACUAUCAUGGAAGGGCAGACGUGACGGAUUUCAAAUCCGUCAUGUAUAUCGCGUCAUAAUUUGAUCACUGUACACUUCAUGACGGAUCAUCUAAAACUGUCAUGGACCAUGACGGUUCUUGACUGUCAUGGAUGGCACUUACCUAACGUGCUCAUAACGGCGUUAACUUGCCUGCCAUGUCAUCAUCUGACAUGGAUCUGACAUGGCAGCCCAUGUAAUAAUCAGCCCAUCUAAAAUUUUGGCCCACUAAAUUUUAGCUCAAUCCAAGAUUGGCAGCCCACAUUGUAAUCAACACAGUUAGAAUUUAAGCCCAUUAAUUUCUAGUAUGGCCCACUACGAUCACUUGUUUCUCUCGACACAUAAAAAUUUAAGAAUUUUACAUAAAUAUAUGCUCAUGUCAAUAUAAAAAUAAAACUAUAUAAACACAUCUUAAAAUACACAUGUACACGAGCAAAAAUAGAAGAUCCAAAAAACGUUAAUUUUACAGGCAUGUCUCAAAGAACACUAUGCCAGCACACCAAAAAUAUUAAUUUUACAAGUAUGUCUCAGAGAACACUAUGCCAGCGCCUCCCCCAUCAAACAAGGCUCCGCUCACAUCAGGCAACAACCAUCAAACAUCAACACGUGGUCAUCUGGCAUUUCUGGCAACAGAUCCGCCCGUCCAUGCCUAAGUCAUCAACCAUGUCUUGUUGUUGAAAAUGCUCCCAUAAACCAAUACCUGCCACAUGAUGAAAAACAUGUCAGGUAUAAAAUAUUAUAGCUAGUAGGUUGACCUAGAAGUAACUUGCUACACAUUCACUGGUAGAAAAAGAGGCUUCCGUCCAGCCCCAUUAGUCGCGAAACUGUAGGAACCGCGACUAAUGAAGUCUUUAGUCGCAGUUCGGCAGACGAACCGCGACCAAAGGCUUGGGCCAGGGCGCUCGGUGGCCAGCUGGUGCACGUGAGGGGCUUUAGUCGCGGUUGGCCAGGCCAACCGCGACUAAAGGUGCCCAAAGGCCUUUAGUCGCGGUUGGCCUGGCCAACCGCGACUAAAGCUCCUCCCCUAUAUAUACCAGUUCAGCACACUCACUUAGCCAUUUGGUGCCACUUCUCUUCACAAGGGGGUGUAGGUUUGCUUUUGGUUCCUCUUAUGCACACAAGGUGUUUGAUGAAAUGCCCAACAGCGUGAAACAAACAUGAUAUGAAGUGUUGGAGCCACACUUGAGGUUCCUCCUCGAUNNNNNNNNNNCCCAAAGGCCUUUAGUCGCGGUUGGCCUGGCCAACCGCGACUAAAGCUCCUCCCCUAUAUAUACCAGUUCAGCGCACUCACUUAGCCAUUUGGUGCCACUUCUCUUCACAAGGGGGUGUAGGUUUGCUUUUGGUUCCUCUUAUGCACACAAGGUGUUUGAUGAAAUGCCCAACAGCGUGAAACAAACAUGAUAUGAAGUGUUGGAGCCACACUUGAGGUUCCUCCUCGAUCGCGGUUAGCAACUUGAACCUUUCAUGCAUGUGUGUCAUUGAUAAAAUAUGCAUGUGUGUUGUUCAUUGUUUAAUUUCUAUUGUUUAUAGCUAGUUACGUUAACAAAUGCAUGAUGGUUAAUUAUAUAUUUUAUAUUAUAAUAAUGCAGAUGAAUCGGCAAUGGAUGUACGGUAACCGACUCUCCCGCGAGUUCACUACGGGUUUGAAAGAUUUCCUCGUAGUGGCUAAUGCGAACAAGCAGAAGGGUUUUGUUAUCUGUCCAUGUGUUGACUGUAAGAAUCAGAAGGGUUACUCUUCCUCAAGAGAAGUUCACCUGCACCUGCUUCGGCACGGUUUCAUGCCAAGCUAUAAUUGUUGGACCAAGCAUGGAGAAAGAGGGGUUAUAAUGGAAGAAGAUGAAGAAGGGGAUGAUUUCAUCGAUGAAAGCUAUCUUGCUCAUUUCGGUGAUACUUUCAUGGAGGAUGCUGAAGGUGAAGGGGAAGGUGAAGGGGAAGGUGAAGGGGAAGGUGAAGAAGAGGCACGUGAUGAGACCGUUGAUGAUCUUGGUCGGACCAUUGCUGAUGCACGGAGACGCUGCGAAACUGAAAAGGAGAGGGAGAAUUUGGAUCGCAUGUUAGAGGAUCACAGAAAGUCGUUGUACCCCGGAUGCGAUGAUGGUCUGAAAAAGCUGGGCUGCACACUGGAUUUGCUGAAAUGGAAGGCACAGGCAGGUGUAGCUGACUCGGCAUUUGAAAACUUGCUGAAAAUGUUGAAGAAUAUGUUUCCAAAGAAUAACGAGUUGCCCGCCAGUACGUACGAAGCAAAGAAGGUUGUCUGCCCUCUAGGUUUAGAGGUUCUGAAGAUACAUGCAUGCAUCAACGACUGCAUCCUCUACCGCGGUGAAUACGAGAAUUUGAAUGAAUGCCCGGUAUGCACUGCAUUGCGUUAUAAGAUCAGAGGCGAUGACCCUGGUGACGAUGUUGAGGGCGAGAAACCCAGGAAGAGGGUUCCCGCCAAGGUGAUGUGGUAUGCUCCUAUAAUACCACGGUUGAAACGUCUGUUCAGGAACAAAGAGCCUGCCAAGUUGUUGCGAUGGCACAAAGAGGACCGUAAGUCGGACGGGGAGUUGAGACACACCACAGAUGGAACGCAAUGGAGAAAGAUCGACAGAGAGUUCAAAGAUUUUGCAGCUGACGCAAGGAACAUAAGAUUUGGUCUAAGUACAGAUGGCAUGAAUCCUUUUGGCGAGCAGAGCUCCAGCCAUAGCACCUGGCCCGUGACUCUAUGCAUCUACAACCUUCCUCCUUGGUUGUGCAUGAAGCGGAAGUUCAUUAUGAUGCCAGUGCUCAUCCAAGGUCCGAAGAAACCCGGCAACGACAUCGAUGUGUACCUAAGGCCAUUAGUUGAUGAACUUUUACAGCUGUGGGGCAGACCUGGUGUCCGUGUGUGGGAUGAGCACAAAAAAGAGGAAUUUAACCUACGAGCGUUGCUUUUCGUAACCAUCAACGAUUGGCCUGCUCUUAGUAACCUUUCGGGACUGUCAAAUAAGGGAUACAAUGCAUGCACGCACUGCUUACAUGAGACUGAAAGUGUACAUUUGCCAAAUUGUAAGAAGAACGUGUACCUUGGGCAUCGUUGAUUUCUUCCGAAAAUUCAUCCAGUAAGAAAGAAAGGCAAGCAUUACAACGGCAAGGCAGAUCCCCGGCCGAAGCCUGCGGAACGCACUGGUGCUGAGGUAUUUGAUAUGGUCAAGGAUUUGAAAGUCAUCUUUGGAAAGGGUCCUGGCGGACAAUCAGUUCCGAAGGGAGCUGACGGGCACGCAGCCAUGUGGAAGAAGAAAUCUAUAUUCUGGGAGCUAGAAUAUUGGGAAGUCCUAGAAGUCCGCUCUGCAAUCGACGUGAUGCAUGUUACGAAGAAUAUUUGCGUGAACCUCCUAAGCUUCUUGGGUGUGUAUGGGAAGACAAAUGAUACAAAGGAAGCACGGCAGGACCAGCAACGUUUGAAAGACCCUGAUGACCGGCAUCCGGAAUGGUUUCAAGGUCGUGCCAGCUACGCUCUGACCAAAGAAGAGAAGGUCAUCUUUUUUGAAUGCCUGAGCAGUAUGAAGGUCCCGUCUGGAUUCUCGUCCAAUAUAAAGGGAAUAAUAAACAUGGCGGAGAAAAAGUUCCAAAAUCUGAAGUCUCACGACUGCCACGUGAUUAUGACGCAAUUGCUUCCGAUUGCUUUGAGGGGGCUCCUGCCGGAAAAUGUUCGAGUAGCCAUUGUGAAGCUAUGUGCAUUCCUCAAUGCAAUCUCUCAGAAGGUAAUCAAUCUAGAAGAUCUACCACGGUUACAGAACGAUGUGAUCCAAUGUCUUGUCAGUUUCGAGUUGGUGUUCCCGCCAUCCUUCUUCAAUAUUAUGACGCACCUCUUGGUUCACCUAGUCGAAGAGAUUUUCAUUCUCGGUCCUGUAUUUCUACACAAUAUGUUCCCCUUCGAGAGGUUCAUGGGAGUAUUAAAGAAAUAUGUUCAUAACCGUGCUAGGCCAGAAGGAAGCAUCGCCAAGGGCUAUGGAAAUGAGGAGGUAAUUGAGUUUUGUGUUGACUUUGUUCCUGACCUUAAGCCGAUUGGUCUUCCUCGAUCGCGGCACGAGGGGAGACUAAGUGGAAAAGGCACGAUCGGAAGGAAAUCAACGACAUGUAUGGACGGCCAUUCUCUGACUGAAGCACACCACACUGUACUGACCAAUUCCAGCUUGGUGGCUCCGUACUUUGAGAAACACAAGAAUAUUUUAUGCUCCGACAACCCGGGGAAGCCUGAAUCCUGGAUUAGGAAGGCCCACAUGGAGACUUUCGGCAGUUGGUUGAGAAAACAUUUAAUGAAUGACAAUGAUGUUGUAGAUCAGCUGUACAUGUUGGCCAAGACACCAUCUUCGACUAUAACGACUUUCCAAGGGUACGAGAUAAAUGGGAAUACAUUUUACACGAUCGCCCAAGAUAAAAAGAGCACCAACCAAAACAGUGGUGUCCGCUUUGAUGCAGCAACCGAGAAUGGGAAAAAGGUCACAUAUUAUGGUUACAUAGAGGAGAUAUGGGAACUUGACUAUGGACCCUCCUUUAAGGUCCCUUUGUUCCGGUGCAAAUGGUUCAAGCUAACAGGAGGUGGGGUAAAGGUGGACCAGCAAUACGGAAUGACAAUGGUGGAUUUCAACAAUCUUGGUUACCUUGACGAACCAUUUGUCCUAGCGAAAGAUGUCGCUCAGGUUUUCUAUGUGAAGGACAUGAGUAGCAAACCGAGGAAACGGAAAGAUAAGAAAACGAUCAGUACAUCAUGCGAUGAUCCAAAGCGCCACAUUGUUCUUUCAGGGAAAAGAAACGUCGUGGGAGUGGAGGACAAGACAGACAUGUCAGAAGAUUAUAAUAUGUUUGCUGAAAUUCCGCCCUUCAAAGUGAACACCGACCCAAGCAUUAAGUUAAAUGAUGAGGAUGCUCCAUGGAUACGGCACAAUCGUAAGCAAGCAGGGACACAAGGGAAGAAAUGAUGUGUAAUAAUUUAUUGUACCAAACUUUGUUGAAUGGAUCAUGUGAAUUAUAUUACCCGUGAUGUGUUUGGUGUCCAUUUUCGAAUGAUUCGAGAUACCACUGAUGAUACAUGAAAUUUGGAGUGAUUUAGUCAUACUCCUGCCUAGGCGUAUAAAAUUUUGAAUUGAAUUAGUUUUAUUUUUCUGAAUUUUUUGAUAUAUUAUUUGUAUUUUUAACAUUUUGAAUUGAAUUAGUUUUAUUUUUCUUAAUUUUUNNNNNNNNNNNNNNNNNNNNNNNNNNNNNNNNNNNNNNNNNNNNNNNNNNNNNNNNNNNNNNNNNNNNNNNNNNNNNNNNNNNNNNNNNNNNNNNNNNNNNNNNNNNNNNNNNNNNNNNNNNNNNNNNNNNNNNNNNNNNNNNNNNNNNNNNNNNNNNNNNNNNNNNNNNNNNNNNNNNNNNNNNNNNNNNNNNNNNNNNNNNNNNNNNNNNNNNNNNNNNNNNNNNNNNNNNNNNNNNNNNNNNNNNNNNNNNNNNNNNNNNNNNNNNNNNNNNNNNNNNNNNNNNNNNNNNNNNNNNNNNNNNNNNNNNNNNNNNNNNNNNNNNNNNNNNNNNNNNNNNNNNNNNNNNNNNNNNNNNNNNNNNNNNNNNNNNNNNNNNNNNNNNNNNNNNNNNNNNNNNNNNNNNNNNNNNNNNNNNNNNNNNNNNNNNNNNNNNNNNNNNNNNNNNNNNNNNNNNNNNNNNNNNNNNNNNNNNNNNNNNNNNNNNNNNNNNNNNNNNNNNNNNNNNNNNNNNNNNNNNNNNNNNNNNNNNNNNNNNNNNNNNNNNNNNNNNNNNNCUCGCCCACGUCCGUCGCCCGCCGCCCCCUCUCGCCCACGCCGGCCGGCCUCCCUCGCCCACCGCGCCGCCUCUCGCCCGCCCUCAACGCCGCCGCCCGCUGUCGCCCGCCGCCCCCUCUCGCCCACGUACAGAGAGCUAGCGAGAUCGUGGAGAGAGAGAGAGAAUUUUUUUUUGUUCUUUUUAAUUUUAACUAGUUAAUUAGUUUAACAAAAACGGUAAAAUAACUUAACAAAAAACGUAUAACCGUAAAAUUUGAUAACCGUAUAACCGUAAAAUAACUUAACAAAAACGGUAAAAUAACUUAACAAAAAACGUAUAACCGUAAAAUAACUUAAUUAACAAAAAACGUAUAACUUAACAAAUAACCGUAAAAUUUGAUAAUUAACAAAAAAACGUAUAUACGGAGAGGGGGCGGCGAGGGGGGCGGCAAUGCGCGCGGUGUUUUUUUUAGGGAUCGAGAGGGGGCGGCGAGGGUUAUACAUGUGUGUUGUCCUCGCCUCCCUCUCCGUGACGCCGUCGUCUGCCGCCCCGUCUCGCGCUCUACCGCGACACCCUCUCCCACCCCUUCCUCGCCCCCUCCUUUUGCCACCGCCCUUUCGCCACCGCCACCGCCACCGCCCCCCUUCUUCACUUAAUUAAUUUGUUUUUACUACAUGUUUUCAGGACUGACAUAAUGGCUGACGAUAGAGCUGACCCGAUUAUGGACAACUAUGAUCCGGACGGUGAAGCACAUAUGUUCGGCAUCAUAAACGGCGAUAUUCUAUAUGUGCCGACCGGACAAGAAGAAGAUGAUAUCUCUUCUUAUCUGAACCUUGACGGUGAAGAUGAAGGGCGCCGUCAGCAAGAUGAUGCCGAACAAACGUCGAUAAACGACGAUCUUCAAAUGGAAGUAGCAACCACCUCCGGCGCCAAGGUAUAUAUAUACAUUGAGCCUCUGGUGAUACAAACUAACUGAUUUGAAUAAAUAUGUGUGGACUAACGCGCGCGACUCUCUUUCUUAUUUUAGCCCUCGGCCGGAUCGUCGAAACAAUCGAGUACGUCGUCAAAGCGUGGCGCAACCAAGACGAUGAAACAAGGAGAAACAUGCACCAUCGAGGUUGUCGACAGUGCAACCGGAAGGCCGCUGGAGCCCCGCAAGAACGCCACCAAGUUUGUCAACCAAUGCGGAGCCAUUGUUAGAGACAACGUCUCGAUCACCGUCCAGGAGUGGAAUAAGCCAGACCUGUGGCAGUUUCUUACAAAGCAGGAACUCAAAAGUGAUAUUCUAUUUCCUUACCAUUUUGGGUGAGUGUUUCUGUCUUGAGGACAUUCUCUUUUGUUUACUCCAUGCAUGGUAUGUGGCCGGCUAAUCGAUGAGUUAUGCAUGACGUACUGUGCAUGUAUCGUGUCCGCAGGUUCCACUGGAUUCUGCUAGUAAUUAAAGUUGACACCUCAGAAUGCCUCGUCCACGACUCUCUGAAUAAGGAUCCAAAGCUUUGGGUCGACAUGAGAAGAAUGCUGCAGAAGUAAUUAUUUUCAUUCAUUUGCGCUCUAUAUCGAUCGGCCUAUUUCGUUCAUUUCCUAAUAUCAAGUAACUAAUAACUCUCUUGUUCAUUUAAUUUUCUUUGCCUCGUAGGGUUUGGAGACGGUUCGUAGAUACAAAGGUCGGUGAAUUCAAAAAAGAGCUAGAAUUCAAAAGGGCAAAGGCUAAUAAUGGUGAGGAUAUUCAGCCAGCGGGGACCAAUCUAUGUGCAUACUAUGUCUGUGAGAUGAUCCGGAGAUACACCUCUGAGCGGGUUCCGAGUGAUACCAAUGCUCAGAGGAAUAACCUCCGGAUGAUGCUUAGUCCAGAAGCUCGCUUCCGACCACUUCAAGAGGAACUAGCUGGAUGGUUCAGGAGGGAAGUCCUCCAUCCUAAAGGAGAACACCAUUACGAGGACGUAGAACUUUAUAUGCAUUAAAUUAUGUAUGGAAACUUGUUCAAAAUUGUAUAUGGUCAUCCGAUGAUAUUGAAUAUAUAUUGUAUAUUCCUCUUGAAUUCUUUUUGGGUCUAAUUUCAAAUUUGUUUGAAAUUGUACAUUCAUAUGCAUGUAUGUAGUACCGUAGAAUAUGUGAAACUCCUUCAAAAUUAAAAUAAAGCACAAAAGAAAUAAAACAAUACAAAUUAAACAGAAAACAGGUUUAGGGGGGGCUAAAACCUUAAACCUGCGGCGGCCUUUAGUCGCGGUUGGCCAGAAGAACCGCGACUAAAGGUCCUCCGCCCCGACGGCCGCCUGGCGCCCACGUGGACGGGCCUUUAGUCGCGGUUCUUAAGAAACCGCGACUAAAGGGUGGGGCCUUUAGUCGCGCCCGUUCGGUCGCGGUUGCGCAACCGCGACUAAUGGCAGUUGCGAACCGCGACCAAAGGCCCCUUUUCUACCAGUGAUUACCAAUUCGAUGAUGAUUGUCUUAACAGAAUGUGUCCUAUCUGGUAUGAUAUUCGACAGGAAAAAGAUCUAUAUGGCUUACAAUUAAUCUAGUUGAAAAUCCAUUUGUAAGAUAUUACUUGUAAUAAAGAAUUGGAUCAAGUAGAAGCCAAUUCUUUAUGUAUAUUACACACAUAAUUGUAGAGACUGACUAUAGAUACAACAAAUAUUGUCUAGUAUCACACUGCAGUAUGUUAUGACUUAUGAAGUAACUUGGAAGGGCACAACUAUUCAGAUCAUAUCCAAGGAAACAGUCAUACAAUUGACCGUAAGAAGCUUUUAUUACUACAUCCUAGCCUAGCCCAAAAGAUGGGAAAAAGAGAUGACAGCGUUAAUACACAUUAAUCUGAGUGAAAAAAGAACAUGUUACAUAUACCUGCUGUAACGUUCGUCCGAGCCUGAACAAAAUAGUGUCACCUACCAAUCUUUGACAAAGAAAUUAAUGAUCUAAUGGUUGUCCAGUUUAAGAAAUUCUUUUGAAUGAAGAUAGAAAACUCUUCAGUUUUUUCAUGUGUUUUAUUAAACAAUCGUUAGACAUUAAUCUGAGUGAAAAAAAACACAUGUUACAUAUACAUGCUGUAACGUUUGUCCGAGCCUGAACAACAUAGUGUCACCUACCAAAUCUUUUACUAAAAUUAACAAUCUAAUGGUUGUCCAAAAUAACAAAUUCUUUUUAAUGAAGAUAGAAAACUCAUUAGUUUUUUCAUGUGUUUUGCUAAACAACAAUUGUUAGAUUUUAUCCAGCAAAUAAUUUUUAAACUGACCAUAGCACCCAGAACGUACAAAACAAACUCUAAAACAUAAUCAAUGCAGAGACUAAAUAAACAUGGUAACUUGGUAUUUGCGCAUGAUUCUAGUUUUUCCAACAGUAUUGUUUUGAAGUGUAUAAAAGAAAUCAACAAUUAGCAAUUCAGACUUGUAUUUUAUUGAAACACUUAGCAAUUUGGUAGUUCUGGCGUACUUAUCAAGUAGUACUUUUUCUCCCUUUUAAAUAAGAAAAUACUAUUACAGUGACCUAUAUGUAUUUUUUAAGACAAUCAAACCUACAUAUAUGAAUGAUUUAGCAUAUAUCAGGACCUUUUUCUUCAUGCACCAGCCUAAACAUCAGGUUUGCCCUACUUCUACCUUAUCUCACCAGGUUAAAGAUUAUUGUCAACUCUGAAGCUAUUCCUGUAGCAUUUAAAGGGCCUUUUCAGCAUUAUGUCAGAGAAGAUUAAUUCCAAUUUUGCAACUCUCAACACAUGAACUGAUCAAAAAAGACAAUGAAAAAAUGAUAUGAUGUGUGAGUUGUGUCUUUGCUAAGCAGGGCCCUGCAAGUUGCUGGUAUGUGUAACAUCAACAUAAGAACAGACGCGGCUAACUACAAUUUUUAAAUCCAUGCUAGUUAAACAUGUCAAAACUUGCUUCAAAUCCACAUACACUAUUUUACUUCUUGUAUGUAUAUAUCCACAAAAUUGAACAGACUAAUAGUUGGAAACGACACCACACACACACACACAGAUAUAUAUAUAUAUAUGUGUGUGUGUGUGUGUGUGUGUGUGUGUGUGUGUGUGUGUGUGUGUGUGUGUGUGUGUGUGUGUGUGUGUGUGUGUGUGUGUGUGUGAUUAGUUAGAAUGAUACAUAAUCCACAUACACAACUUGAACAUUCUGACAGUGCGUGUGGCUCCUUGAUAUUUAUGCGUUUCUUAUGAGAUCCAAAUUUAUUGCUAUUUUCGGUUAAUAAUUAGAUGGUGUUUCAGUUAAUAAUUAGAUUUGCUCUCAGGUACUACACACACGCAUCUGUAAAACAAGUUCAUUCUGGCAAGAUACAGAAUCAUAGCUGAAUUUAUAUCUAAGAAGCUGAAGCUUACAACUUAAGUCCCAAAAGAUCAGUGCCAAAGCAACGUGAAGUACAGUGCUUGUUAGAAAAAAUAACCAUAUCAUAUCAUGUGGAAUAGCAUUAGUUUGCCGUGAUUAUAAUAUGCGUAACAUUGCAAGAGAGUCAGAUCCACAAAACAGCCAGCAACUAAUCAAGCUCACAUGUUCAUCUCAGCAAUUGAAUCCACC